rnacentral:lncRNA from 1 species
GUAUCAUGGCAAGGUUGCAACUUGAGUGACCAACUACUGAAUCACAUGAAGAUGUCCUCCAUUUUGGGGAGAGCCCUUCUUUGUGAAUGUCGUGUAGUAUUUACUAGCUGUAUACAUUUCGGUGUUUCCUGCAUUGGAAUCUGCGAUGGAAGUGAAAUUGUUUCCGCAAGGAAUUUCCUAGAAACUGAGGUUUAUCUCUCUUUGCAGGGAUCAUACACACUUACAAUGCGGAUGACUGGAGAAGAUGGGCAGCAACUGACUUGCAUCACCUUCGGUUUCAGCAUUGGAUUCGUACCUGUUGCUGACAACUAGAAAAAGUCAUGUAUUAUCGCCUGUAAUAAUAUGAACUUACUUAUCACAAGCCAUCUGUGCUUCCUUUGUGAGAUCAUAUCGUAAAACCUUUGCAUGUUAUUGCCACGUUACAAUGACGAGGAUCAUAUAUGCUGUAUGUUUUCUGUAGACUAAUAUAUGGAAUGGUUUGGUCAGUUUAAUUUCUUGGCAAGAAGGAAAGUUAUUAGUCCAAAGCAGAUUACAGCAUCAUGAUUCUUCUGUUUGCUUCUUUCUUCCAGUACUUUGAGAUGAUAUGGACAUGAAUUGGCCAUGCAAUUGUGGUCUCUGUCUCCAUUUUCCUCAAGCAGCACUUCGUGAUCCUCCAC